UUAAAAUACAAAGUUAAAAAAAAGGGAGGGGGUGGGGCGAAUCAAAUCCUUCAACAUGUUAAUCAUUUCAGUCAGAAAGAUGGAGCAGAAUAAGAAUGUUACAGUAAAUCUUACAGGUAAGAGAGCUUUUCUAAAUUUCCUAAUUCCUCUGGGAUUUGACCACUGAAGCUGCAGCCAACCAAGAUUCUGUGGAAUAGGAAAGUGGUUUCCAAUAUUUGAUGCAAGUGGACCACCGAGCUCAUUAUUAUAGGACAGGUCCCUGCAGUAUCAAACUUACAGGGUCUGCAGUUCGCUGAGUUGCCCUAUGUCCCCACUUAAUGUGCCUUUGAGGCCCAUAGUUGACAGUUUCCUGAAAAUAUGAUGGGUGAGUAAAGGGACUACGGCAAUGUCGGCUGAUGAUAAGUUCAGAAGAAGCUUACAGGACAGUCACUCUGGAAUUGAUGCAGUUGACUCCUUCCCAUGGUGUACCACAGGGAUCAUCUGACUGCCCCCAACUUGGUGGUGUGUUCUGCCAUCCAUCCAUUAGAGAUCGGAGAGCAGCAGCUGUAAGUGAUUCAUUGGUUCAUAGUUAGCUUUUAUAUGUUUCCCUCACUUGAAAGGAGAAAUCUAUGAAGGUAACCGGAAAUCUCAAUACUGGAAUCCAAAGCCAAAAAAGUUUGUACGGAAUGAAUUGUUAAAUUAUGGAAAGAAUUUUCUAUUUCUAAACCAAGCAGAUGAUGGAUAUUUCCUGAAAUAUUGACAUCUAGAGAUCUCUUGCUAAAAUUUCUCUUGCUUGUAUCAGUGGGUAAUUCAACUCUAUUGUUAUAUACCUAAAGCUUAAUUGAAACGUGACUACUUUUUCUGU